CUUCUGCGUUUCUGUCAUGCUCUGUGGGGGCGUUGUCUUGCUGGGUAGAAUCCAGAGUGACGUCUACUUAACAAAAGAGAAAAGACAUGACAAAGGCGGUGUGAUGGCAUUUGCUGGAAACUAGACCCACUUAAAGCGCAAGGGACUACUGAAUAAUUAUUUUCCCGCGAGGAGGGGAAACAAAAAGACGACCAAUGAUUUCCAUAUGAAUUAUGAAGGCGAAGGCCCUCGGCUUAAGGGAACAAAGAGACAGCAACCACUUCAUCGCGAAACCAGAAAGCGAAGCAUGCUUUUGUUUUUUCCCCUCAAUCGUCGGUCCAACCUUUUCCCUCAUUUAUAUAUUUAUUUUGUCUUUACCCAUUAAAUUACGACUGGAAUUUUUUUUG